rnacentral:lncRNA from 1 species
CAGUAAAAUUAAUUAUUACAACUCUUCUUACAACUAAUAAACUUAAGAAAAACGAUUAAACUAAGUCACAAUUGGCAAAAAUCAGCAAAAGGGCUUGCAAAUUUGUCAAUUAGGGCAAUUUAGAGCGAACAACCGAUUGAUGACAUCACAGAAUUGAUCAGCUUGACGCAUAGCCGAUCGGCUCUAAGCUCUUGCUCAACCCGAUUUUACUUGGUUUAAGGUCUUUUCCCACCUGAAAUCCUAUUUACAUGCAAAACACAUAAAAUAUGAUUAAUAUAUGUAAAAAGGCAUGAAAUAAAUAAAAUGGUUGAUUUUAAAACAAAAACAAGUAAAACUACCAAAAAUAAAUUUACAGUAGACAAAAACUUUUUUAUGGAAAUUCUCUAAAAUUAAUCAUGGAUCCGAAAUUAGGUCUAAUCAUUUGUACAUGCAUAUCAUCGUCAAAAUAAAGUAAUCCUAACAUGCUAUCCUACACAUAUGAUCAUCAAACCUAUAACCCGACAUGUUAUGAGAUUCAAAACACAACAUGCAAACAUAGAGAUAUCUAAGAUUACUAAAACUCUAGAUCUAAACAUACAAAACAUCACAAAUAGCAUAAAUUCAUCCUAACAUAUUUCAAGUAACAUAAAAUUAAAAGAAAAAAGUAGAGAGGAUGCUAAUGAUGUUGCAUUUAAAACCCUCAGGUUGUCAUCGUAUUGUAUUGAUCCUCGAGUCUCUGGUGAUGAGGAGGAUGCAGAAUCGAAUAUGGAUACAAAUCUAUAGUUUUUGGCAUUUUUUUUUAUGGUAGUUGAUCUUUGAGAAAAGUCUUUUUUUUUUUUUGAAAAAUCUAUUAUCGUUUUAU